rnacentral:rRNA from 1 species
UAUUUGACGAUUUUGUCGGCGAGGAAACCCGCUGAACUUAAGCAUAUCACUAAGCGGAGGAAAAGAAACCAAUUUGGAUGC